UACAGAGGUCCCGAGCGUUAGGCGGAAUCACUGGGCUUAAAGCGUGUGUAGGCGGAUCGUUAAGUACCUUGUGAAAUCCCACGGCUUAACCGUGGAACUGCUUGGUAUACUGGCGGUCUUGAGCCACUUAGGGGCUACCGGAACAAAUGGUGGAGCGGUGAAAUGCGCAGAUAUCAGGAGGAACACCAAUGGCGAAGGCAGCUCGCUGGGACGGUACUGACGCUGAGACGCGAAAGCGUGGGGAGCAAACAGG
rnacentral:rRNA from 1 species